rnacentral:rRNA from 1 species
CAGCCGCCGCGGUAAUACCGGCGGCCCGAGUGGCGGUCACUAUUAUUGGGCUUAAAGCGUCCGUAGCCGGGUUGGGAAGUCCUCCGGGAAAUCUGGCCGCUUAACGGUCAGAAUGCCGGAGGAUACUCCCAGCCUAGGGAGCGGGAGAGGCCGAGGGUAUUCCCGGAGUAGGGGUGAAAUCCUAUAAUCCCGGGAGGACCACCUGUGGCGAAGGCGCUCGGCCGGAACGCGUCCGACGGUGAGGGACGAAGGCCAGGGGAGCAAACCGGAUUAGAUACCCGGGUAGUCCACGCUGUAAACGAUGGGCGCUAGGUGUUGGUGGUUAGUAGCCAUCAGUGCCGAAGCUAACGCGUUAAGCGCCCCGCCUGGGGAGUACGGCCGCAAGGCUGAAACUUAAAGGAAUUGGCGGG